AUCAUCAUCAGCAUCAAUAAAAGAAAAUUUAUCCACAAUUUGUUGUUUUUUUUUCUUAAUAAUUGUGGAUACAUUACAAAUACAACAUAUUAAUCACACACAAUCUUUAUAUGUUUGUAUGUGUGUGUGGCAAGCCUUUUUUUUCUAUGAUUCCAAAUCGGUAAUUUACUACCAAUUCAUUGAUUUGAUUAUACAUAUAUAGAUUGGCUAUGAUUUGGUUAAACUAUAUAUGAAAGAAAGAAAAAUAUAACAUUAAUG